GCUUACGGCCAUACCAUCUUAGGCACGCCCGAUCUCGUCUGAUCUCGGAAGCUAAGCAGGGUCGGGCCUAGUUAGUACUUGGAUGGGUGACCCCCUGGGAAUGGCUCAUGACCCCCGAAAGUC
ensembl:rRNA 5S_rRNA 5S ribosomal RNA